CCUACGGGUGGCAGCAGUGGGGAAUAUUGGACAAUGGGCGAAAGCCUGAUCCAGCCAUGCCGCGUGUGUGAAGAAGGCCUUCGGGUUGUAAAGCACUUUCAGUGGGGAAGAAAGCCUUGGGGCUAAUACCCUCGAGGAAGGACAUCACCCACAGAAGAAGCACCGGCUAACUCCGUGCCAGCAGCCGCGGUAAUACGGAGGGUGCGAGCGUUAAUCGGAAUUACUGGGCGUAAAGCGCGCGUAGGCGGUCUGAUAAGCCGGUUGUGAAAGCCCCGGGCUCAACCUGGGAACGGCAUCCGGAACUGUCAGGCUAGAGUGCAGGAGAGGAAGGUAGAAUUCCCGGUGGAGCGGUGAAAUGCGUAGAGAUCGGGAGGAAUACCAGUGGCGAAGGCGGCCUUCUGGACUGACACUGACGCUGAGGUGCGAAAGCGUGGGUAGCAAACAGGAUUAGAUACCCUAGUAGUC
rnacentral:rRNA from 1 species